GACGAACGCUGGCGGCGUGCUUAACACAUGCAAGUCGAACGGAAAGGCCCUGCUUUUGUGGGGUGCUCGAGUGGCGAACGGGUGAGUAACACGUGAGUAACCUGCCCUUGACUUUGGGAUAACUUCAGGAAACUGGGGCUAAUACCGGAUAGGAGCUCCUGCUGCAUGGUGGGGGUUGGAAAGUUUCGGCGGUUGGGGAUGGACUCGCGGCUUAUCAGCUUGUUGGUGGGGUAGUGGCUUACCAAGGCUUUGACGGGUAGCCGGCCUGAGAGGGUGACCGGCCACAUUGGGACUGCGAUACGGCCCAGACUCCUACGGGGGGCAGCAGUGGGGAAUAUUGCACAAUGGGCGGACGCCUGAUGCAGCAACGCCGCGUGCGGGAUGACGGCCUUCGGGUUGUAAAACGCUUUCGCCUGUGACGAAGCGUGAGUGACGGUAAUGGGUAAAGAAGCACCGGCUAACUACGUG
rnacentral:rRNA from 1 species